rnacentral:rRNA from 1 species
CAGCAGCCACGGGAAUACGUAGGGCGCAAGCGUUAUCCGGAAUUAUUGGGCGUAAAGAGCUCGUAGGCGGUUUGUCGCGUCUGCCGUGAAAGUCCGGGGCUCAACCCCGGAUCUGCGGUGGGUACGGGCAGACUAGAGUGAUGUAGGGGAGACUGGAAUUCCUGGUGUAGCGGUGAAAUGCGCAGAUAUCAGGAGGAACACCGAUGGCGAAGGCAGGUCUCUGGGCAUUAACUGACGCUGAGGAGCGAAAGCAUGGGGAGCGAACAGGAUUAGAGACCCCCGUAGUCCCUGUCUCUUAUAC